GUGCCAGCCGCCGCGGUAAUACGUAGGUGGCAAGCGUUAUCCGGAAUUAGUGGGCGUAAAGCGCGCGUAGGCGGUUUUUUAAGUCUGAUGUGAAAGCCCACGGCUCAACCGUGGAGGGUCAUUGGAAANUGGAAAACUUGAGUGCAGAAGAGGAAAGUGGAAUUCCAUGUGUAGCGGUGAAAUGCGCAGAGAUAUGGAGGAACACCAGUGGCGAAGGCGACUUUCUGGUCUGUAACUGACGCUGAUGUGCGAAAGCGUGGGGAUCAAACAGGAUUAG
rnacentral:rRNA from 1 species